rnacentral:rRNA from 1 species
GCGCAUGGGGGGAGGCCCUUACCAUGCAAGUCGAACGGCAGCACGGGGGCAACCCUGGUGGCGAGUGGCGAACGGGUGAGUAACAUAUCGGAACGUGCCCUGGAGUGGGGGAUAACUAGUCGAAAGAUUAGCUAAUACCGCAUACGAUCUACGGAUGAAAGUGGGGGAUCGCAAGACCUCAUGCUCGUGGAGCGGCCGAUAUCUGAUUAGCUAGUUGGUGGGGUAAAGGCCUACCAAGGCAUCGAUCAGUAGCUGGUCUGAGAGGACGACCAGCCACACUGGGACUGAGACACGGCCCAGACUCCUACGGGAGGCAGCAGUGGGGAAUUUUGGACAAUGGGCGCAAGCCUGAUCCAGCAAUGCCGCGUGAGUGAAGAAGGCCUUCGGGUUGUAAAGCUCUUUUGUCAGGGAAGAAACGGUUCGGGUUAAUACCUUGGGCUAAUGACGGUACCUGAAGAAUAAGCACCGGCUAACUACGUGCCAGCAGCCGCGGUAAUACGUAGGGUGCAAGCGUUAAUCGGAAUUACUGGGCGUAAAGCGUGCGCAGGCGGUUGUGCAAGACAGAUGUGAAAUCCCCGGGCUCAACCUGGGAAUUGCAUUUGUGACUGUACGGCUAGAGUGUGUCAGAGGGGGGUAGAAUUCCACGUGUAGCAGUGAAAUGCGUAGAGAUGUGGAGGAAUACCGAUGGCGAAGGCAGCCCCCUGGGAUAACACUGACGCUCAUGCACGAAAGCGUGGGGAGCAAACAGGAUUAGAUACCCUGGUAGUCCACGCCCUAAACGAUGUCUACUAGUUGUCGGGUCUUUAUUGACUUGGUAACGCAGCUAACGCGUGAAGUAGACCGCCUGGGGGAGUACGGUCGCAAGAUUAAAACUCAAAGGAAUUGACGGGGACUCGCACAAGCGGUGGGAUGAUGUGGAUUAAUUCGAUGCAACGCGAAAAAUCUUUACCUACCCUUGACAUGGUCGGAAGCCUUCGAGAGAUUGAGGCCGUGCCUCGAAAAGAAGAGCCCGAUACACAGGGUGCUGCCAUGGGCUGUUCGGUCAGCCUCGUGUCGUGAGAAAGUUGGGGUUUAAGUUCUCGCAACGAAGCGCAAACCCUUGUCAUUAGUUUGCUACCAUUUAGUUGGCACUUCUAAUGGAGAACCUGCCGGGUGACAAACCGGAAGGAAAGGUGGGCAUGACGUUCAAGGUCUCAUUGCCUUAAGUAGCUUCCACCGGCUAUACCAAUGGUACAUUACCAGAGGUUCCGUGUCCUCUAAUACUCGCGCGUAAG